CCUACGGGAGGCAGCAGUGAGGAAUAUUGGUCAAUGGGCGAGAGCCUGAACCAGCCAAGUAGCGUGAAGGAUGACUGCCCUACGGGUUGUAAACUUCUGUUAUAAAGGAAUAAAGUGAGGCACGUGUGCCAUUUUGUAUGGAAGAUAUGAAUAAGGAUAGGCUAACUCCGUGCCAGCAGCCGCGGUAAUACGGAGGAUCCGAGCGUUAUCCGGAUUUAUUGGGUUUAAAGGGAGCGUAGUUGGGUUGUUAAGUCAGUGGUGAAAGUUUGCGGCUCAACCGUAAAAUUGCACUUGAUACUGGCAGCCUUGAGUACAGUUGAGGUAGGCGGACUUCGUGGUGUCGCGG
rnacentral:rRNA from 1 species